rnacentral:lncRNA from 1 species
GGGGUCUCAGGCACACUCAAUAGUGAUUCCUUCAUUAGGGAAGGAGCUAUGAGCCCACCCAACCCUUGAUCCAGGGCAGUGUUGAGAUCUCAGUGCCUCCCGCGGCCCUCCCUGCACUGGAGGUGGGUGAGGGUGUUGGUUCCAGACCAAAGAUCCCGCCGGGGAUGGAGCCGCUGCCUCCUCUUGCCUUCGCACCUCGGUGGCUGGGGUGACUCGUUCUCCCCGCGGCCUCUUGAGGAUGAGGUGCAGUCUCUUCCCAGGCUCCACGAGUUUUCGGGGCUCAAAGAAACACCAGCAGCGUCCCGGGAGGAGAAAGAGGGUCCCCCGUCCUUUGGGGCCGCGCGGGACCCGGCUGCGGGGGCUGGACCCCCCGCUACCCAUUUCCGAAAAGUCGCCGCAGAUUUUCGGCCACCAGAAGCCGCCUAGUGCAAGGCAAGCGUCGGAGUUUGGAGAGGCCUGGGCAGGUGUGACCGGGUGGUGCAGAGGCUUCUCAAGAAAGGGGCAGCUUUUUUUGCGGGGGGUGUGUGUGUGGGGGAAGCUUUCGUCCGAAAUUUAGCUCCGCUGGGGCUUGGGAUAUUUGCUUUUCCUCCCCAACGUCUGCUUUAUUCUCUUCCAAAGAGCAUGUUCUGUUGCCGGAUUCUGGGCAUUUUCCGACCUCCUCAAAAAGGAUAUGCCGGGAAAGGAACAUGCAGAUAGUUUAACAUUCUUUGGUUGGAGUCUGAGGAAGUGUCACCUUGACGCUAAGGAGACUUGGCGCUUUCAGGGAGUGUAAAACUUGCAAAAUUAAGAUCCCCCCCCCCAUCCGUCUUUCCUAAAGACAACUUUCUCUUCCCCUGCCCCAGCUUUCUUCAGCAUAAAGCCUUGAUGAGCCCUAGGCUGGAAUCACUGGAAGUUAAGGAGUCUGGGGGGGAGGGGGAUUUGAAAAGUUGCAGCUGUAAUGGAGGUGCUGGGCGGGGGUGGGGGGGGGAGAGAAAGAACUAGAAAGUCCUGGAAGUGGGGCGGGAGUGGCUUUAGAUUGAAGCAAAGGUCAGGAUGACCCCAGGGGAGAAGCCUUUGUCGUGUCCCCCCCCCCACUUCCUUUCUCUCCCAUUCCUGCUUCCAGUCCUCACUCAGGCUUGUAGUUAACAGUAGUAUUUUUAGAUUUAAAAUUUUGCCAAGUGAGAUUUUUCCUUAAGUGUACGUGUUACAUGCAAAAAAAAAUACAUAAAUUACGUAUAUAUAUAUAUAUGAGGGGGUGAGAGGAAACUUGAGGAGGUGAUGUAUUUGUUUUCAUAGCUUGUGGUUUUUCCACUGUAUGCUUCUCUCCAACCUGAUGAAGUUGCUUAUAUUGAAUAUUUAUGGCUUGUUUGUGUGUCAGUCAUACCUCAAUAAAAUGGUUUUUAAAAAAGCUGCA